UCGGGUCAUUUUGGGUCCUGGAGGAACAUGGGGGGCAGGUCGUCCCUGAGUGCGACCCGUGGGUGCCCAGCACCCCUGACGGAAAGCGCGUCCCCCGUGUUUGCUCCCGGCUCCUCCCUGCCGCAUUGAUCACACCCCCCCCCCCGGGGGCUUUCCGGGCUCCCCGCUCUGCUCCAUUGAUCUGCAUGUUUUAUUUCUGUAGACUUAUAAUUUGGGGAACGUAUUGUAAACUUUUCUGGGGCCGACACCCCCUCCCCAACCCAGGUCCAGCCGGCAGGCCAAGCCGCAUCCCAGUCUCCCGGGGAUGCAGGUUCUGACCCAAUGGGUCGCAUGGCACCUGGGCCCUGCAUUUUUUCACAGGGUCUGAGAGGCUGCCCUUGUUGGUCGUGGGCCCGCAUCUGAGGGCUGAGGCUCCCUUAGCUGUGGUGCCCGUGAUGUGGCCACUCAGAGCCUGGAAGGGGGAGUUUGACAUCCGGAAACUGCCUGAGGCAACUGUAGACUCUCCCUUGAAUAGAAUCCAGGCUUUCCUGAGUCUUUGAGUGACCAGGAGCCACAAGGCUGCCACACUCUGGCUGCACAUCUCUGGUUUCCUAAAGCGGAUUAUUAUUAACUAACUCAGUGUAGUGCAAGCAGUGACCUUCUCUGCAUCAUCAAAGGACCCACCCGAGAAACCCCGCAGCAGGGACAGCUGGGCACUGUCCCUAACAGGGAUGGAAAGUUCCUUCAUGGGGAAUAAUCUGAGACAUGGAAGGGCCCUUUCCUAAGAUCUUGAGAUCUUUUCUCUACUGAUAUCUGGUGAUAAGAGGAUUCCUCCUAUUUCACGGAUUGAAUAAGACACAAUCACUCAUUCACCUGGGGUUAGACAUUUUGUAGAUAAUCCACUUUACUUUUUAACAUUUAUAAUGUGUUAAACUGAUUUUACUUCCUCUCCCAAAUCCUUUUAUGCUUGCUUCGGAGAAAAGUUGGACUCUUCAGGGAAGGAGGAAGAAAUCAAUGUUUAUUGAGCACCUGCCAGAGAUUACCUGAUCCUGUGCAACAAGUUCAUCACUUAAGUUAUGUGAUCUCCAUUAAUGACGCUAUAGAGAUAUUCCUACUCCGUAGUUGAGAAUCCUAAGGUCUAAAAGAGACCAGGAACUUGUGUAAGAUCAUACAAAUAAGAACAAAGCAUGCUUAACUUCUAUACCUACCAGAAGGGAUUCUUGCAGAUCUAGAGCAACUGGCCCAGGUGUCUUCUCCUUCCUCCCUUGCUUGGGGUGCUACAAGGAUACAGAAGCACCUUCCUCCAAUCCUGCACACUCUAUCAUCAAGACAUUCUCAGUGGUGCAGUAGCGACUGGGAUGGGGUGAAAAGUGAUUCUUGGAGACUGAGAAAAGUGCGAGGGAAGCAUCAACAGCUUGCAGCUGACAGGGGCGUGAGCUGGUGGCCGGCGAGGUGACGCAGGUGCUGCCAUUCGUUCUGAGAAGAGAGUAGCUGCUCCUCCCUUCUGCAGAAAACUGCGUUUGGACUGUUUGCACGGCCUGUGAUAGUGACUGCACUUUGGGGAAACGACCUGAGGAAACGCUGGAAAUACGGAUAAAAAUUUUAAGUAUGAACUGAGGCCCAACACCUGCUUCACAGAGAGGACUGUCUGGAAGCGCCUGCUGAGAGCCCGCGGGGGG